UUCUAUUGCCUCAUUUCUAUUAUUUGGGAUUUUUUUUUAAUUAAGGAUAGGAAAAUGCUACAUACCAAGGAUCCUAACAUAUAAAAUGCAAGUAAUAGAAUAUAUACUGUAUUUCUAUUUGUGAAAUAAUGUAUACACACAUAAUUCAGCCUAAUACGUAUAAGGGCUGAUUCCAAAAACAUAAAGGGAUCAAAGAAUAAUUGAUAUAAAGUUUCUGUAGUUUCAGACAGUACUUCUGAGUUUUUGACAGCUGAAAACCUAGUGGAAGCAUCAGUACCUGAGGAUGAAAUUCUAACUGUCAUGAAUAGCAAGCAACUACAGAAAUCAAAUCUGAAUUUAAGUAAGACCCAGCAAUUCAACAUCUGUACACUAUCAGCUGAAGAACAAAAGAUCCUACAAUCCCUUAAUCAUUUGAAUGGAAGGCUACGCUGUAAGUGUGGAAGAAUAUCCUUUGUGGAAAAUGUGGUGUUUUGAAAUUAGACUAUUUUCAUUUUAAUCUUAAUUUAAUUUUUAAAAAUCAAUGUGGCACACAUCUAUAAUCCUAGAGGCUUGGGAGGAUGUGGCAAGAAGAUUGCGAAUUCAAAGCCAGACUCAGGAAAAGCAACUAAGCAAUUCAGUGAGAUUCGUCUCUAAAUAAAAUACAAAAUAGGGCUGGGGAUGUAGCUCAGUAGUCAACUGCCCCUGGGUUCAAUCCCUGGUACCAAAAAUAAAAUAAAAUAAAAAAUAAAAAUGCAACAUCUAUCUAGAUUAAUGGAGUAUAUACAAAUUAAGAAUUUAUCUGAAUGAAAUCAUACUGCUUCAAGUAUACCAUAUCAUUUAUCAUUUAUGAUGAUACCAAAAGCCUUACUGUGUUCGAGAAACAUAUGAACAUGGACAGGCAGGGUACCUAUAUUGACCAUCCAUGAAAACAACUAUAAAUUCUUGAUUAAGUAUUUUAAACUCUAAAUAUAACAAUGAGCUAGCGAGAAUAUAACAAAUUCUCAGAAAUUCGUAAGAACUCAGAAAGAGAAGGAGAAUGCUUCAGUUAGCUUAUAUUCUGAGCAUAUUUAACUCAGGAUAUUUUCAUUUCACAAGUGAAAUCCAAGGAAAAAGAGCAGCCCACAGUAAGACUCAGAGAGUAUAAAAACAACAUAGAGGGGACAGAAGAUGAAACCCAGGGCCCACUGAAGAUUAGUAGUCUCAUAAAAGAGCCUCCCACAUAAAGCCGUACCGUACAAAGAUCUAUGCAUUGCACAUACACAGAAAGGAGGGAAGGGUAAAAAAGAAAAGAAAAAGAAAGAAACUUGUAAUUCUUGAACUUCAGUAUUGAGCAGAUGAGGGGUCAGAGAGAAAUCCAUGAGAAUUUAGAACCACCAUGUAGUAUAACUACCACACAAAUUUACAAGCCAUAUUCACACCACUUGAGUGGUCUUUAAAGUCUCAAACAAAGAAUUUAAUUUAGAAUGACCUCAAUCUAGUAACAGCCCAAAAUAUCUGAAAGAAAAGUAAAUUUGUGUCCCUUGUAGAAACCUACUCAUAUUUUAGUUUUCAAAGAAUUAUCACAAAGAAAAAUAAGCAGCCCACAAUUAAAAAAUAAAUAAAAAUAAGAUAAAAUAACUUGAUCCACAAAGAAAAAGGCACCAUUAAAAAAUCAAAAGAAACCACAAGACCAAAUAAACAGACCCAAACAGUGUUUUAGAUAAUGAUAUUACCAGACACAGGCUAUAACUACAUUUAUAUGUUUUAAAGUAAUCAGAACUGUGUUUAAAAAUCCAGUCAGAGAAUAAGAAAGUAUUAUAAAGAAUGACCAAGCAGAUUUGAAAAAAAAAUGGGCCAAACAGAAUGCCUAGAAAUGAAAAAUAUAAUAAUUGAAAUUCAAAAUUCAGCAGAUUACAGACAUCUGAAGAAAGAAUUAGUAAACUGGAAUAUAAAUCAAAGAAACUUAUCCAGAAUAAAGUACAAAGACACAAAGAGAUGGGAAUUUAAGAGUUUAAAAGACAAAGGAAUAAGAAAGUCUGAAGUAGGCCACAAGCAAUAUGUGAAGUAAUAGCAGCUGGCAAUUUUUCCAAUCUGAUGAACAAUACCAACCUACAAAUUCAAAAACCUAACACAUUUCAGAGUAAAUAAAAAGAAGUCCCCUUGUAUGGUUUCAGUCCCCAGCACAAAGAAAAGAAAUUCUCACCAAGACACAUCACAGUAAAUUUUAAUCAGUAACAAAGAUGGCAGAAAACAUUAAAGAUAUCAGAAGAUAUUAAACAAUGUGUUCAAUGUACUAAACUUAAAAUCUUUCAAGGUGAAAAUGUCUCUCAAAAAUCAGAGCAAAUUAAAAAUAUGUUCAGACAAAAACUUAGUAAAUAGACACUAAGGAAAUUCUAACAAAUGCACUUUAGCAGAUAGAAAUUAAUCUGAGUUAAUUUGAACAAACAUUUUAUUUAAAAAGUAUAACAAAGCAUCAUGUGUUUAAGAUUUAGAAUUAAAAUACCUAUAAAUAUACAUAAGUUGGGAAAACAAAUAGAGGUAAUAUACACUAGGAUUCUUGAUAAGGAAUAGGGUAAAGAUACGGAUUAAGUUUAAAUGCUGAUAAUUGAAAUAUACCUCUAGUAAUUAUUAGAGUGACAUCUAAAAGACUAGAAAUAUAAUAUACAACUUUCAAACUAGUAAGGAAGGGAAAGUGGCAUUCAAAAAAUACUAGAUUAAUCCAAAAUAAAACAAGAAAGAAAAUAAAAACAUAGAAGAGGUAGAACAAAUGGAAAUACUAUCCUAUAAGAUGGUAUGUACAAAUAUAUUUACAAUAUGUGUAAAUGGAUUAAAUGCUACACUUAAAAGACAAAAUUUGUCAAAUGGAAUUUUAUGAUAAAAUUAUAUUCUAUUUCUAAACCACGUAUUCAAAACAUAAGAAUAUAGAAAAACAGAAAACCAAAAAGAUGAAAAAUAUGUAAAAAGCAAAUAAUAACCAAAGCUAGUUUUAAUGUAAUAUUAUCAGACAAAAUUGACUAUACAGUAGAAAGCUAUAUAGACAGAUUACUUCAUGAUGAUCAAAGUUUUAAUAUAGGAGAAAUACAUAAAAUGUUUUAUAUGAAAUUAAGAAUAUAGCCUCAGCAGCACAAUUCACAAUAUCUAAAUUAUGGAACCAACCUAGAUUCCCUCCAGUAUCCAAUGGAUAGGGAAACUUUGGUAUACAUACAUAAUGGAAUAUUACUCAGCAUUAAAAGAGGAUAAAAUCAUGGUAUUUGCAGGUAAAUGGAUGAAGUUGGAGCAUAAAAUGCUAAGUGAAGCAAGCCAAUCCCAAAAAACCAAUGGCCAAAUGUUUUCUUUGAUAUGAGAAUGCUGGCUCAUAAUGGUGAUGGGGCAGGGAGCAAGGGAGGAAUGGAGGAACUCUAUAGAUAGAGCAAAGGGGAGGGAGAGGAAAGGAGGGGAUAAGGAGGUAGGAAUGAUGGUGGAAUGAGUUCGACAUCCUUACCCUAAGUAUAUGUAUAAAGAUAUGAAUGGUGUGAAAGUACUUUGUGUACAAUCUUGACUUGAAAAAUUGUGCUCUAUAUGUCUAAUAUGAAAUGAAUUGCAUUCUGCCAUCAUGUAUAACAAAUUAGAAUAAAUAAAUAAUUUAAUAAAAAAAGAAUAGCCUCAAAUAUGUUUUAAGGCUGGAGGUGUAGCUUGGUGUUGCAGUAUGUAUUUACCGUGCAUAUUUAGCAAGCAUGAAGUUCUGGGUUCAAUCCCCAGCACCAAAAAACAAAUGAAAUAUUUCCAAUGGUAGUAGAAGAUUUUAACCUACCAUUGUCAGUACUUGAUAGAACAAAUAGAAAAAGUACAAUAGAUGUGAAAGAAUUGAACAUAAUUAACAAAUUUGAUCAGAAAGACACAUUUUUCAUAAGCACACACAGAACAUUUAUAAUAUAAAUCACAUAUGAUACCAUAAAAUAAGUUUUAACAGCUUUCAAAGGAUUAGAGUCAUGCAGGCUAUAUCCUGGCUGCAAUACAAUUUAGAUAAAAUCUAAUAACAAAAGUGAACCAUUAAUAACAAAAAGAUUACCAUUAAGAAACAUUUUUACCCCAGUACUGGAGAUUGAAUCCAGAUGCUUUACCAUGGAGCUAAUUCCCAGCCCUUUUUUUUUCUUAUUUUCAAAAAGGCUCUUGCUAAGUUGCUGAGGUUGGUCUCAAACUUGCCCUCAUGCCUCAGCCUCCCUCGUUGCUAAGAUUAUAGGCGUGUAGCACCACUCCUGGCAAGAAACACAUUUUUUUUUAUUCUCAAAAAAUAUAUAUACAUAAUAAAAAUUACAAAAUAUUUACAUGUGAACAAUAAUAAAAAUAUUUUGUGAGUAUUUGUUUUUAUCAGGACCUCUUUACCUAUGCACCAUUGACAUUUUGAAUUCAGUAAUUCUGGUUGUUUUUUAAUGGUACUGGGAAUCAAACCUAGGGCCUCACACAUGCUAUGCAAACACUUUAUCACUGAGUUACAUCCCCAGUCUAAGAAAUGGAUAAUUCUUUAUUGUAGGGGGUAUCUUAUACAUUAUAAAGUGUUUAGCAGCUUAUCUGGUCUCUACCCAUUACAUGACAUAGCACCUCCCAGUCAUGACAACCAAGUGUCUCCAUACAUUGCCAAACGUCCCCUGGAUGGCAAAAAUACCCUAUGGCUGAGAACAUACAAUUAGAAUCCCAAUGUUAAAAGUUACAUCCUUUUUUGUUGGAAAGAAGAACUACUAAUUGCAAAGGAAGUUGGAUUUAGAUACAGUCCCCCUCACUUAAGGUAAAAACCUGCUUUUGAAUUCCAGAUAUCAUAUUGCCAGAAAAGAUAUGAAGAAAUUCUGGGAUUAUUUUCAAAAACAUUGUAAUAACACUAAAUAGCAAGAAAUUAAAUGGAACUUCUAGUGUGUACUAGACAUAAAAAUCAGUUCCAUGUAAUUAAAUAUUAAAUAUAAAAGAAAAUAAAGUUUUUAAGAGAUAAUAAAAUAUUUCUAACCUCAAGAUAAGGAAGGAUUUCUUAAGCACAAGAAAUACAAUCUAUAAAAGAAAAAAAUAAAUCUGACUAUAUUAAAAUCACAAACCUCAUAUCAAAAUACAGUUAAAAGAAUGAAAAAGCCACAAAGUGAUAGAAAAUAUAACAGAGAAUAAAGGACUCAUUUAAACCAUGUGAAGAAUGCCUAUAAGUUAAUGAGGAAAAAAAGACAACCCAGUAGAAAAAUGGAACCAAAAAAGAUUUUGAAUGGGAACUUCACAACAAAGGAAAUGUAAAUAACAAUAAACAUUGAUUUAAAUGCUCAAUUUCACUAGUAAUAGAGAAAUGCAAAUUAAAAUGAUGAGUUCUAGUUACAUAUUCAUCAGAAAGACUGAAGGUUAAAAAACUGAGAAUCCUAUGUAUUGGGAAAGAUGUGCAGCAAUAGCAGCUCUCAUGUAAUACUGUGGGAGGGUAAACUGAUGCAAUCCUUUUAGGAAGUUUUGUCACCAUCUAAGUUAAACAUGAACAUACCUUACAGCCCAGCAAUUUCACUUCUAAAUGUGUAUGCUCUACAGAAAAUCCUGCACAUGCCUGUCAGGAGAUAUAUGUAUAAGAAUGUGGAGAUCAUUAUUUAUAAAAUUCAAAAAUAAAAAAAAUUUAAAGUAUAUUUAUGAUAGAAUAUUAUUCAGCAAGGAAGACAUACAAAUUAUAGCUACACACAUCAUCCUGAUGAAUCUUAAAAUAUAUAAUUUUGAGUUAAAAAACAAAAGAAUAAAUCCAUUACAAAAAUAGUUAAAAAUAAAUUGUUGUUUGGGGGAUGUAUACACGUGCUAAAACAACAAAGCAAGAAACUCAGUAUAGGGUAGUAUGGGGGCAGAGAGCUCCAAGAAGUUUCUUUAAAAAUUUUUAUUUUUUAUUUUUUAGGUAUAGUUGAACACAAUACCUUUAUUUAUUUAUUUUUAUGUGAUGCUAAGGAUCGAACCCAGGGCUUUGCACAUGCUAGGUGAGCACUCUACUGCUAAGCCACAACCCCAGCCCAAGGAAGUUUCUAAAGUAGUGAUCAAUUCAAUAGGUAGUUACACAGACAUUAACUUUAUUAUUAUUAAUUAAAAUAUGCAUAUGUUUUAUAUACUCUGCAUGUUAACUUCAAAAUUAAAACUGAAUUUUAAAAUGAUAUAGAAAGCAGAAAACUAAAACACAAAAACACAGAACUAAGGCUAUCCCUUUAAGAUGUAAAAUUAUGCAGAUAAAGAAUAAAAAACUCAAGUCAAUAACUUGGAGGUUUUAUUUCUAUUAGGUACUCCUAUGCUUAAAUGCUUCACAUAAAAGAUUCUACAUGAAUUAUUUUCUUUUACCCAGAUUCUUCCUAGUGUAUGGACCAAAGCCUAAAGAUUGAAAAAAACCAGAAUUGAUAAAAUUACUCAAAUUUUUGUGCUUCAAUAGCUAAAUAAACAUAUAUUUUUUCCUGAGAAAAAAAAAGUUUCCAAGGAUGAAAUUCCUGUUUUGGUUUAAAAAAAGAAAGAAGACAUAAUAUCUCAAUAAAGACUGAGGGCCAACAGGAAAGAAAAGUCUUACUCAAUUUUGAAUAUUUUGGAAAUUUUGGAAUGUAAUAUUUGAUUCUUUUUUGUAAUAUUUGAUUCUUUAGUCAUUCUUUUCUUUCAGUAAAUGUAAACAAAUUAUUUUUGUGUUAUGGUAUAAUUUUUCAGAUAUGCAAGAAACCAUUUGCCAAAAUCCAUCCAUCAAAAACACUCUACAAAUAAUACCACUUCUGGUAAGUAUUUGAAAAAGCUUUCUUUUUUUUUUUUUUCUUGUUUUAGGAAAUGUCAUGAUUUUCAUGUGUCCAUCAAUAAAGGUAAGAAUCCUUUGUUAGUAUCAGUUUUUCUUGAUACUGAUUUUUAGAGCUUUACUCUCCCAACCAACUCUUUUUAUCAUGUUUCAUUACAAUAAAGCAAAUAUUCUUUCAUUUUGAAAAUCAAAAUAUAAGCCUUUUUAUAUACAGAGUAUUUUAUCAGUCAUGAGAUCAGAAACAAGCAUUAGUGCACCAAUCUUCAAGUAAUUUUAUUUAGUUGUGUAACCUAAUUGAAAAAUUACUAAGAUUACCUUGGUAAUGAUCUGUGUCCUGGCCCAUAUCCCUUCCGUGUCCUCAGAGUUCAAAACUAAACAUUACUAUCUUGAAUCUUUUUUUUUUUUACCUUGGCACUACACUCUGGUAAAUAAAAAUAUUUAAAUAAAAAAUAGUCCCUACAUUCAAGAAUUUGCAGUCAAACGGGGAAAGACAUAUAUUUGUAAUAUAUACAAAUAACUAUAAUACAAGCUAAGACAAAACUACAAAUUUAAGAAACCAAAGAAGGAAAGUAUGUUUAGCUAGAAGUAAUUGGGAGACAAAGGGUGUCCUCAAACUAAGAUAUUACUUAUACUUUCACAAUUCUCAAUUUAGGUAUUCAUUAAAAUAAUGUUUGUUAGAGAAUUAAUUGAAUGCUUAUCUAAUUACUCUUUAUCACGCCCCCUCAGUUCUGAAAACUUAACAGGAAAAAUAAGAUUAUGCAAGUAAAGUUAAAUAUUUCUUAUCCAUGUUUUAGAGUGUUGUUGUGCUCUGGCUAUGAUAGUGAAUGAUAGUAAGAAAGAAGCUAUCUCCGCCCUCUUGAAACUUACCAUUUAACUCUAGAUAUGUAGUUUUUCAAAGCGGCCUUUGGCAUUUUUGAGUUGUGAUUUUUGGACAUAACUCUUUGUCAAUAGUCACUUUAACUUCUGAUAGAUUGUUUUUUCCCAUGACUACUUUUUACAUACUAUCUUAGUUUUUCUCUAAAUUUUUCAUAUCCAGCAAUUUGGUGAUGUUUAUGAUGGUAAUUUUUAUGUGCCUGAGAUUUGGAACAUUUUUUAUCAGUUCUGACACAGUUAUUAUUUAUGAUAAUGAUUCUUAUUUCACUUUAGUGAUAUAAUACUUGUAAUGACUGAGAUCACUCUUUUGUGCACUUCAGCUCAACUUCAGAGUAUGAAUAGUAAGAUACUCUUCAAUAGGGAGAGAAAGUUGUCUAAUCAGAAAGUUACCCUCUUAUACAUUUUAAUUCACUUUGUUAUUAUAUUGCUACAAUAUGUAAUAACUGAAAAGUUAAUGUUGUGCAUUGGGGAACACUGGUAGACUUGAAAUCACUCUUUUAAUUUUUUUAGUUGUAGAUGGACACAAUACCUUCAUUUUAUUUUUAUAUGGUGCUGAGGAUCCAACCCAGUGCCUUCCACAUGCAAGGUGAGCACUCUACCACUGAGCUACAACCCCAGCCCAAAAUCAUUUUUAUCUAACAUCUUUUUCAGUCUUCAUGACAAUUGAUAAUCAUUAACUUUCUUCAGUCUUUAUUGACAAAUUUUUUCUCUCCUUCAUUUUAACAACAGCAUUAACAAUUUAUUUUCAGGGAAAAUGAUACAAAACUAAAGAAUGGUUAACUACCUGUUUAAACAGCUACACCAAAUUUGCUUGGUUUGUCAUAUCUUGCUUGGGGAUUUGGAUAUUUUAUUCUUGUCUUCCCUUUUCCUUAUUUUAAUUUAAUUUAACUUUACUCUUCACCUAGAUUCACCAAAUUAUUGACAUUUUGCCAUACUUGCUUUAUAAAAUGGAUGGAUGGAUGGAUAAAUAAGUAGAAUAGAGGUAGAUACAUAUACACACAGGAAGAUACAUUUUUAUGACUUGUUCAAAAGUAGACUGCAGACAUAAUGAUACUUCCCCUCUAAAUACUUUGGCAUACAUGUUCUGCUAAGAAAAAAGAUAUUCUCCUACAAAACAACAGUAUUGUUAUUAUACCCAAGAAAUCUAAUAUUGAAUACAAUAGUAUUAUCUAAUCCAUUCCAGAUUCAAAAUAUCCCAGUUAUUUGAAUAAAAUGUCCUCUGUGGCCAUUUUAUUUUUCUAAUCCAUGAUCAAACCCAGGAUGAUUCACCAUCACCCCAACAUAUGCACACUUAUUUCAUGGGUAGAGGCCUAUCUCUCCCAUUUUANAUGGGAAAAUCUCCUCAGUAUCUCUUGUAGCAUACCCUACCAUUGCUUAGAGCAAAUCCAAGUCUGAGAUAUUGGAAUAAUAAUAAUUGCAACCCACCUUCUCCGUUCAAUGGUACUCAUAAUCAUUCUAAUAGUAAUAGCAGCUACCCCACAGAGGAAACAGUGCCGAUAACAUAGAACAUGCUAAAUAGGUGUUUGGUAGUAUUAUUGACAUUAUUCUGAUCACCUAACUUGUUUAAAUCACCCCCUAAAAAAGUAAGAUUCCUGAAAGCACUUGAGUGAAAUUUAAGUAGUUACAUAUGUGAGACUUAUAUUUGAGUAUUUUAGUGAAAGUAUUGAAGUGAAAGCAUAACUUUUUCUUGUAAAAAUUGGAAUAAUUCUAACAGCAUUUGUAGUUCCCCCUUCUUUUCCUUGUCCUUCUCACUACACUAUGAAUCUUCCAUUACAGCCGGGCACGUUUAAUAUUUUGUCCAUCACGUUUGCAAUAUCCUGUUCUGCCUCUAUGUUUUUCUCAUGAUUUGCAUAUGUUCAUGCCCAAUUUCUAACUGCACUUUAGUAGUUUAGAUUUGUUUUCUCUCCUUUCCAAAUUCAACUUAUCUAAGAACAAACAUAUAUCUCUUCCCUCAUGAGACCUUCCAUAAUCAAUCUAGUUUAUGAUACUCUCUCACUCCUCUGAACUUAUCAAUACAGCAUCUCAAAUCUUGUAUUUAAACUACACAGGCAUUUUUGUUAGUUGCUUUUCUAAGUGAAUAAUCUUCUUUGGAACUGUGUUCUUGAGGCCUAAAUUGUUUUCCACUUCCCUAAAUGCUUUAUAGAAACAAGCAUAUACAAAAUUUUUAGAAAAUAUUGGUUGACUUUUUAUGAUUUUUUAUAAAUAGAUAAAUUAUCUCCUUUCUUUAGAUUGCAGUAAAAUGCAGUGAUUUACUUGAACUUGGAAUUUUUUUUUCUAAUAGUCUGAAGCAGAGUUUAUACUCCAUAUAAAAUAUCAUUUUUUUUCAAGUACUAGGGAUUGAAUCCAGGAGUGCUCUACCAGUCCUUUUUAUUUUUUAUUCUGAGGCAGGGCUUCAUUAAGUUGCUGACUCUGGCCUCAAAUUUUCAAUUCUCCUGCCUCAGCCUCCUGAGUUGCUGGGAUUAAAAGUAUGAGCCAUUGCACCCAACUCCAAAAUUCUUUAAUGAGUGUCAGUGUUUAAUAAAUUAAUACUAUUUAGUGGCAAGUGGAUAUUGUUGAGAUAUAAUUAGAAGAAAGGAAACUUAAACUUACUGGGUUUCUACCAUUGAAAAGUGCUAUGCUACAUGGUUUCCCCCUUAUUCUGAAUCAAAUGAGCUACAGACAUCAGGUAGUUUUCCCAAGGUCCCAGAGAUGUUCAGUGAUAGAGCCAGGAAUUAAACUUGUCUCUCUUUCCCAUAAAAUCUGUUCUAGUUUUUUUUAAUAAUCCUUAUUUCAAUUAAUGAUAUCAUCUUCCAUCAAAUUUCCCAGACAGAAAUAUUUGUCUAACCAGGCUUCUCAUUCUCCAUUACCCAAAGUCUUUAAGUAUUUCCAAUCAUAUUCACUAAAUAUACCUCAAAUACAUUCCUUUCUUUCCAAAUGUGACAGUGUACUGGUUUAAGAAUUUAUCAUGUUCACAAUAAUAUAUACUUUAUGAUCAAUAGAAGAACUGGAAGGCUCCAAAAACAAAGUAAUAAGAAGAAGAUGGAAAUAUUACCUUGUUUUGAUCAUUACAUUGCAACAUAUAAAUAACAUAUAAAUAACAUAUAAAUAACACACAAUGUCUGUUAUGCCGCAGUCCGGCUGCAGCAAAAUAACGGGGGGGGGGGGGGGGGGGGGGGGGGGGUGACGAGGAAAUUGUGUAGAUUGAUAGAGCAGGAGAGGGAGCCGUUUAUUGUAGGACCGGAGGGGUAUUUAUACAUUCCACACAGCUUAUCUUAUUUAACAUAAACUAGAUACAGCAGUCAACCAAUAAGGAAUCUCCACACUUUGGCGUUACUUCACAAACCACUCCCUCUGCAAAAUGCCAGGCGCCAUCUUGACUUGUUUACAGACUCUAACACUCUUAAAUAUGUAUAAAUGUUAUGUGUUAAUGAAAAUCUUCUAAGUUUAAGGAAGGCUGAAAGUAUACUCGUGGUAUAGCACUUGCCUAGCAUGCACAAUGUAUACAUAUUGCAUACACAUAUCAAAGUAUCACACUGUUCCUCAUAAAUAUUUACUAUUUAGAUAAUCAAUUUUUUAAAGGAAUUUAUCAUGUUUAAUCUGAACCAUUUCAACUGCCACCAGCUUUGCUCUCUUAAGUGCAUCUUUCAUACCACCAUCACCAGAAUAAUCUCUCCAGCUUAAAAUUUAACUUCAGUUGUUACCUGUUACCUAAAAGAUAAAUUAAAAUUCCAGAGAAAUGCAUUCAACACCCAUCCAGCCUUACCUCUGGUUGCUCCCCAUCUUAUGACUUACCUUCUGUUGAAUAGUUGGCAAGUCUCCCCAUAACUCCUUGCAAGCUUUCAGGACCCAUGCUGUUCCCACUGCCUCACAGACCUUGUUAUCUGCUUUUCUACUACCUACUCUUCAGGACUUGGCCCCAGUGUCAUCCAUCUGGGAAGGCUUUUUCAGUCCAACCUUUGUCCUGCCCCAAAAUUUAGAAUUUCCCCCUGUUGACAGCCAUUCAGCCUGACCUUUUCUUUUUGUAGAAGCUACCAUAUUAGUUCAUUUUAUUCAUUGAACAGAUACUGUCUGAGUACUUCCCAUGUAUUGGGCAUUCUGCUAGGACUGCAAAUAGAGGAAGAGUAACCUGCAUUCUAAUAGGGGCAACAUGAAAACAUUACAGUGUAAUAGGAUUGUUGCAAGGGCAACCUCAAAACUCCUGCCACUGCCAUUAUAAAUUUCAAAGUAUAAAAUUCUUAGAAGAAUUUUCAUUUUAAAUCAUUUUACUUACUUUUUUAAUAAAUAAAUGUAAUAAAUUUUUAGCAAUUCCCUCUCAAGCAACGUACUUCUUUAGCCCAAAGUAUAUUAUUAAACACUCUUAGGAUCUUAUGUGGGUUCUAAGUGCUUCCUGUAGAAAAUAAAAUUAUUAAACUUUGACCAUUUUCUUUAUUUUUUAUUAAGAGAGAGAGAGAGAGAGAGAAAAUUUUUUAAUAUUUAUGUUUUAGUUUUCAGUGGACACAAUAUCUUUAUUUUAUUUUUAUAUGGUGCUGAGAAUCGAACCCAGUGCCCCGUGCAUGCCAGGCAAGCGCAUUACUGCUUGAGCCACAUCCCCAGCCCCAAACUUUGACCAUUUUCACAGCAGAUUAUAUUAAGCACUUCUUAAAUAAAUGUUACCAGUAGCAAAGUAUGAAGAUCAUGGAUUAUUAUAAUUAAUAUGAUGCCUUAUGUAAUUACUUUGUUGAGAAUGAUAUGUAAAUGGGGUUUAGAAUUUGAAUUAUGAGCAUAGUCUUAUUAAAAUCUGUACUCUAUAAAGAGAUUUACUUGUCGAAGUCUGUGAAUACUUUAGUAAAGGAAUAUUCUGAAACUAUGUUACAGAACAGCCUGCCAAGACCUCGACCAUCUCCUGAUGUUGGAUCCAGAUUGCAAAGAAAAUAUUGAUGAAGUGUGACAGCAACUAUUUAAUGAAAUCAUUAUUUUUGAGAAUCUCCUGUAAAUAUAUAUUUCUGCAUUUAUUAAUGAUUCAAAACACUAUAAUCAUAAAAAUGAAGUAUAAUAUAGGUAAUGGAGAUAAAUUGAUCAGUUUAAGUUUAUGCUAUAAAUUAUACUUUAUUAUGUAUUUUAUUGGUGAAUACAUUUUUAAUGAAUGGAAAUAUUUCAUUGUUUUCAACAAGCAUGCUACUGUAUAUAAAUUAAUUCUAUUUAAAAAUAAAAAAGAGGCUAUUUUGUUAUUCCAAUUAUGCAUUAGUUGUAGUUAUGAAGCUUUGUUUUCUGAAAUUCCUAAUAAAUUCUAUUAAAUUUGUAUGGUGGUAUUAAAAAGUCUAUGAUUGAUAACAUCUUACAUAAAUAAUACAGCUAUUUGUUUACGAUAUUAC
rnacentral:lncRNA from 1 species